rnacentral:lncRNA from 1 species
UCUUAAUGCUUACUAUAGCUGAUAUUCAGUGGGGUGUUUAAAUACAGUGCACCCUUGAUAGUAGCACCUAUUUGAGAGUGGAAGUGGGGCCGCUUCCUAUGAGAAUUGAGGCGAAUUCUCUAGAGCACUCAAAGAAACUGGGAAAGUUCACGGCCGAAAUGAACACAACCGCGAGAACUCAAUGACUGUUCUAGAAAUCAUGUGUGUGUUCUAUUGUCUCAGUUUGCAACUAUAAUUGUAGAGUUCAAGAAGUUCACUCUACAGUUAGUAAGCUCGAUAGAAUAUACAAAGCCAAGGUUCAAGUUGAUAGACACCUAAGCCUGCAUGAUUUCUACCGUACUCCAGAGUAAUAUUUUCAUUUAUCUUAUUUCUUUCAUGUGGGGGACUGUUAUAUAUUUAUGGUAUAAAUAUAAAAUGUGAAAGAAAUAAUCAAAUUAGAUAAAGUGCCAAAGUGGUGGGAAAUGUGACAUUUGUGUGGGACGUCAGGGGUUCGAAUCACUCCCCACGCAAAUAUUAAAAUGUCUUGAUUUGGGCCUUGGGGCCUUGGGCUCUUGGGCUUCCUUGACUAAAAUAAAUAUUUUUUUUUUUGGUUAUUUAAUUGGUAAAACUAGCCAGUAUUUUAUGACUGUUUGUUUUUGUAACAACCCACUAACUGCCAUUAAAACACCCACUACUCAGUCAUUAAAAUUCUGCAUUAACAUGGUGAAGACUGUUACUACCAUCUUGCCUAUAUAAACCCAUAUCUUGCUUUGGGAAAAGACACACAAAUAGAAAAUAGAAUCAAUCACUCUUUUCAUAUUGUGAAUUUCUUAUAUUCGGGUUUUUAUACCUAUUCUGGAGUACAAUUGAGAGUUCUAGAAAAACCAUUCGUGAUUGAUGCAUAGGUGGUUUACGAUCGUUGUAUCCUGUGAGUGAUUGUCCACGGAGGUCACAUCAAUUAUUGACGGGCAAUUUCACUUUAGGACAUCGUGUUGUUACGAGACUCGAUCGGACGAUAAGUUUUAUAUUUCUGCAUUAUAUUGUUCUGAUCACUGCUGCAACUAAUUAUUUUUCUAACAAAAUGUUAACGUGUUUCUAUUCUCACUAUCCUGCUUGUGAACUUUUCCUUCUCAACAUGGAAAUAUGUGGCAUCAUUUUAUUGAUAAGAGCUGAAGUAUAUGUCUCCAGUUUUCUUUAUGCAUUACAGUUGUCACGAAAUUUGUCAUAUUAUUUGCAGAUUGUUGGCAACUCUGGUUUGAAGAUGGAAGUCGAGGUUCCAGUAGACUAGAGAAAAAAUAACAUGUUUCCCUGGUGAAAAUCUUGAGUAGCCUACUACCCUGAAUAAUGGAUCCCUUAAUUCUUAGUUUAAGAUUUCAUUGUCAUGACAUUUCUUAAGAUAGCUGGCUUCUUAAUCAUCUGUCCUAUGCAAAUAUUUCCCCCUUUUUUUUUAAGAUUGCUGGAAAUUCCUCUGAAAGCUCAAUCUUGAGUAGCCUACUACCCUGAAUAAUGGAUCCAUUAAUUCUUAGGUUAAGAUUUCAUUUUCAAAACAUUUCUUAAGAUAGCUGGCUUCUCACUGAUCGAAAAAACAUAGAAAGUGUGAAUCAUCUGUCAUAUGCAAAUGUUUGCUAUUUUUUUAUGGUUAAGAUUGCUGGAAAAUCCUCUGAAAGCUCAAUUUAUGGUCAUUGACAGUCUUCUGCAAGCGACAUAAACCGAACAUGUUCUAGUUUUAGUAAUAUUGAUGAACAUUUCUAUGUAUAUAAUCAAACAAACUACUUUUUUGAUUAUUUGUAUACUGAAACUUUGUGCAUCCUCUUAAUGAUUGGUUCUAAAUAGAGUAUAGAGAAUGAUUUUGUUAGGCCAUAAACCGUCUCCGAAAUUUUAUGACAUUAUUUGGUUUGAUGUCUCUGUUUUUGGCCUUUGUGUGUUUGGGGGAAAGGGAAAGGAUACAACGUAAUCUCAACUGAUCCCUAUUUCUUUUCUA